rnacentral:rRNA from 1 species
AAAUUGAAGAGUUUGAUCAUGGCUCAGAUUGAACGCUGGCGGCAGGCCUAACACAUGCAAGUCGAACGGUAACAGGAAGCAGCUUGCUGUUUCGCUGACGAGUGGCGGACGGGUGAGUAAUGUCUGGGAAACUGCCUGAUGGAGGGGGAUAACUACUGGAAACGGUAGCUAAUACCGCAUAACGUCGCAAGACCAAAGAGGGGGACCUUCGGGCCUCUUGCCAUCGGAUGUGCCCAGAUGGGAUUAGCUAGUAGGUGGGGUAACGGCUCACCUAGGCGACGAUCCCUAGCUGGUCUGAGAGGAUGACCAGCCACACUGGAACUGAGACACGGUCCAGACUCCUACGGGAGGCAGCAGUGGGGAAUAUUGCACAAUGGGCGCAAGCCUGAUGCAGCCAUGCCGCGUGUAUGAAGAAGGCCUUCGGGUUGUAAAGUACUUUCAGCGGGGAGGAAGGGAGUAAAGUUAAUACCUUUGCUCAUUGACGUUACCCGCAGAAGAAGCACCGGCUAACUCCGUGCCAGCAGCCGCGGUAAUACGGAGGGUGCAAGCGUUAAUCGGAAUUACUGGGCGUAAAGCGCACGCAGGCGGUUUGUUAAGUCAGAUGUGAAAUCCCCGGGCUCAACCUGGGAACUGCAUCUGAUACUGGCAAGCUUGAGUCUCGUAGAGGGGGGUAGAAUUCCAGGUGUAGCGGUGAAAUGCGUAGAGAUCUGGAGGAAUACCGGUGGCGAAGGCGGCCCCCUGGACGAAGACUGACGCUCAGGUGCGAAAGCGUGGGGAGCAAACAGGAUUAGAUACCCUGGUAGUCCACGCUGUAAACGAUGUCGACUUGGAGGUUGUGCCCUUGAGGUGUGGCUUCCGGAGCUAACGCGUUAAGUCGACCGCCUGGGGAGUACGGCCGCAAGGUUAAAACUCAAAUGAAUUGACGGGGGCCCGCACAAGCGGUGGAGCAUGUGGUUUAAUUCGAUGCAACGCGAAGAACCUUACCUGGUCUUGACAUCCACGGAAGUUUUCAGAGAUGAGAAUGUGCCUUCGGGAACCGUGAGACAGGUGCUGCAUGGCUGUCGUCAGCUCGUGUUGUGAAAUGUUGGGUUAAGUCCCGCAACGAGCGCAACCCUUAUCCUUUGUUGCCAGCGGUCCGGCCGGGAACUCAAAGGAGACUGCCAGUGAUAAACUGGAGGAUGGUGGGGAUGACGUCAAGUCAUCAUGGCCCUUACGACCAGGGCUACACACGUGCUACAAUGGCGCAUACAAAGAGAAGCGACCUCGCGAGAGCAAGCGGACCUCAUAAAGUGCGUCGUAGUCCGGAUUGGAGUCUGCAACUCGACUCCAUGAAGUCGGAAUCGCUAGUAAUCGUGGAUCAGAAUGCCACGGUGAAUACGUUCCCGGGCCUUGUACACACCGCCCGUCACACCAUGGGAGUGGGUUGCAAAAGAAGUAGGUAGCUUAACCUUCGGGAGGGCGCUUACCACUUUGUGAUUCAUGACUGGGGUGAAGUCGUAACAAGGUAACCGUAGGGGAACCUGCGGUUGGAUCACCUCCUUACCUUAAAGAAGC